UACAGAGGGUGCGAGCGUUGUUCGGAAUUAUUGGGCGUAAAGGGCGCGUAGGCGGCGCCACAAGUCACUUGUGAAAACUCUGGGCUCAACCCAGAGCCUGCAGGCGAAACUGUGGUGCUGGAGUAUGGGAGAGGUGCGUGGAAUUCCCGGUAUAGCGGUGAAAUGCGUAGAUAUCGGGAGGAACACCUGUGGCGAAAGCGGCGCACUGGACCAUAACUGACGCUGAGGCGCGAAAGCUAGGGGAGCAAACAGG
rnacentral:rRNA from 1 species